rnacentral:rRNA from 1 species
GACGAACGCUGGCGGCGUGCUUAACACAUGCAAGUCGAGCGGUAAGGCUCCUUCGGGGGUACACGAGCGGCGAACGGGUGAGUAACACGUGAGUAAUCUGCCCUCCACUUUGGGAUAAGCCUCGGAAACGGGGUCUAAUACCGGAUAUGACCAUGGUCUGCAUGGAUUGUGGUGGAAACUUUUUUGGGUGGGGGAUGUGCUCGCGGCCUAUCAGCUUGUUGGUGGGGUAAUGGCCUACCAAGGCGUCGACGGGUAGCCGGCCUGAGAGGGUGACCGGUCACACUGGGACUGAGACACGGCCCAGACUCCUACGGGAGGCAGCAGUGGGGAAUAUUGGACAAUGGGCGGAAGCCUGAUCCAGCAACGCCGCGUGGGGGAUGACGGCCUUCGGGUUGUAAACCUCUUUCAGCACAGGCGAAGCCGCAGCUUUUGUUGUGGUGACGGUAUGUGUAGAAGAAGCACCGGCCAACUACGUGCCAGCCGCCGCCGUAACAC